AUAGGGGAGCCGGAGGGAAACCGAGUCUUAAUUGGGCGUUAAGUUGCAGGGUAUAGACCCGAAACCCGGUGAUCUAGCCAUGGGCAGGUUGAAGGUUGGGUAACACUAACUGGAGGACCGAACCGACUAAUGUUGAAAAAUUAGCGGAUGACCUGUGGCUGGGGGUGAAAGGCCAAUCAAACCGGGAGAUAGCUGGUUCUCCCCGAAAGCUAUUUAGGUAGCGCCUCGUGAAUUCAUCUCCGGGGGUAGAGCACUGUUUCGGCUAGGGGGCCAUCCCGGCUUACCAACCCGAUGCAAACUGCGAAUACCGGAGAAUGUUAUCACGGGAGACACACGGCGGGUGCUAACGUCCGUCGUGAAGAGGGAAACAACCCAGACCGCCAGCUAAGGUCCCAAAGUCAUGGUUAAGUGGGAAACGAUGUGGGAAGGCCCAGACAGCCAGGAUGUUGGCUUAGAAGCAGCCAUCAUUUAAAGAAAGCGUAAUAGCUCACUGGUCGAGUCGGCCUGCGCGGAAGAUGUAACGGGGCUAAACCAUGCACCGAAGCUGCGGCAGCGAACGUAUCACCCAAGACAACUUUACGGAGUUGACGAUUGACGGAGCGAAGCGACGUCAAAGCGUUCAUUAAAGUCGAGUUGGCUUAGGGAUACGUUCGUUGGGUAGGGGAGCGUUCUGUAAGCCUGUGAAGGUGGCCUGUGAGGGUUGCUGGAGGUAUCAGAAGUGCGAAUGCUGACAUAAGUAACGAUAAAGCGGGUGAAAAGCCCGCUCGCCGGAAGACCAAGGGUUCCUGUCCAACGUUAAUCGGGGCAGGGUGAGUCGACCCCUAAGGCGAGGCCGAAAGGCGUAGUCGAUGGGAAACGGGUUAAUAUUCCCGUACUUGGUGUUACUGCGAAGGGGGGACGGAGAAGGCUAUGUUGGCCGGGCGACGGUUGUCCCGGUUUAAGCGUGUAGGUGUGUGUUCCAGGUAAAUCCGGUU
rnacentral:rRNA from 1 species